rnacentral:rRNA from 1 species
GACGAACGCUGGCGGCGUGCUUAACACAUGCAAGUCGAACGGAAAGGUCCUGCUUGCAGGGUACUCGAGUGGCGAACGGGUGAGUAACACGUGGGUGAUCUGCCCUGCACUUCGGGAUAAGCCUGGGAAACUGGGUCUAAUACCGGAUAGGAGCCAUUUUUAGUGUGAUGGUUGGAAAGUUUUUUCGGUGUAGGAUGAGCUCGCGGCCUAUCAGCUUGUUGGUGGGGUAAUGGCCUACCAAGGCGGCGACGGGUAGCCGGCCUGAGAGGGUGGACGGCCACAUUGGGACUGAGAGACGGCCCAGACUCCUACGGGAGGCAGCAGUGGGGAAGAUUGCACAAUGGGCGCAAGCCUGAUGCAGCGACGCCGCGUGGGGGAUGACGGCCUUCGGGUUGUAAACUCCUUUCGCUAGGGACGAAGCUUUUUGUGACGGUACCUAGAUAAGAAGCACCGGCUAACUACGUG